UCUCUCCUAAACCUGUGUUUGGCUGUUUUACUUUCUGUGUGCAUUUGAUCACUGAGAUAUGUGUUCUUUAUUCUGCGACGUACUUUAACCCACAAUGACUCAUUCCUGGAAAGUAACUUUUAAUUUGUACAGUUCCUGAUCUCACGAUGUAAUUGAGGAACGAUGAUGUGAUUUGGGAUUUGUUUAAUAGCUCAUUAUCUCUCUCUCAUCUCUUGUUUUCCCUUCCUGCUCUGCUCCUCCACCGUGACCCAAAGUUUCUGAUGGCUGUAGGGACCAGGCUCUCGCUCAAGACGUCUGAGUCAAGCCGGUCUGUGGAUGUCAACUCAGACAGGGAAUCUUCCUUAAGCCCCUGCUUCUGGAAGUCAACUCUCACUUCACUUGAGGAGAUUUCGAAUGACUCGAGGGGAAGGGAGAGUAAAAUGAAGCAAGAAAAAAAGGAGAGAGAAAUUAGAAGCAGUAUUAUAAAAUAAACACAGGGAUCCCAACCAUUCAAUUAUUAUUCACAAAACCAACUCCACUAUAUUGUGUAGGCGGCGUAUUAUAAGGUUGAUGCUCUUUUGUUCAUUGUUAUAUUAAAUGUUAAAUUGCUAUUUUAUCAGUAGGCUGCAGACUGAAAUGUGUAAAGCCAAUAUUUGACAAUCAGAUUCUCAAUCAAACAACCUAGCACGGACAGCAGCAAAUUUAUAGAAAUCUUGCAAUGGUCAUGGAUCGGCAAACAUGCAAGACAUGGCACCUUAUAAACAAAUGACUUGUUUAUAUUGUAAUGAAAUGGUUAUUUUAAUUAUAUCUGUCCACCUGCAAAAAAGGACAACCGUGUUAUUCUAUGCUGGAUGUAAUCCGUCAACAUUACCUCAUACUUUAAUAGCACACCAAUAUCUUCCAAAAUAUUAAUCUGUUUGGUAAAAGUUGAAUGAAAUGAUUGAUGGAUAGACACAUAGUCACAUAGACACAGGAAAUGUUAAUCACCAUCAUUGGUACCUUUUGUAUUAUAAACAAACCCCAACUUUUAUUUAGAAAGCUGCAGAAAUAACAAGAAGUGGUUGCUAUUUUUUUAUGUUCAUGGUCUUUUGGACUGUCUGUAGCUAGCAUUGCACAAAACUAUAUGUUGGAAAACUGCAUCAGUCUACUGUUUGGGUACAGCUUCUGCUUUAUCGUGUCUUCUUGAGAACCUCACUUUAGAUCUCAUGCCCACAUUCAAGUGAGAUGUAACACAUUUGAAGACAUUCCCUAACUUAAAGCACUCAAACUGUCAAAUACAGUGUGAAAGGGAAGAAAGCAUUAAUUACUUUAGUGGUAGUAGCAGGAGAAAUUAUUAUACAAUAAUAACAAUGGCGACCAUUGUCUCUUUUCUUGAAGUCAAGUCAUUUGUAUUUAAAUAGCCCUUAAUCACACUAACUGUCUCAAAGGGCUUCACCUGCCAUAUAUUUAUGAAAACCCCUAACCCUAGCAAACCUGCCCUUAAUUAACAAGAAAGACAUCUUGAGAAGGAACGCAGAGUGGGGGACCCCUCCUUCCAAGGACAAGUUUACAAACUUUAAACACAAUGAAUACAUACCCGGUACAAUAACUUGCGUGUAUUCGUGGGUUUGUGUGUGUUUUUGUGUAUGUGUGUGAGAUUGUAUGGUGUGGAAAUGAAGUUAGAGUAAGGCGUUACAAAUUGUAGCCCAUAAUUUGAUGUUGUGACCUAGUUGACAGAUGUUUAUCAUCUAUAAUAAAACUGAUAAACCAGAA